rnacentral:rRNA from 1 species
AGGAUAAACGCUGGCGGCGUGCCUAAUCAAUGCGAGUCGAACGGGCACCUUCGGGUGUCAGUGGCGUCCGGGUGAGUAACGCGUAGCUAACCUGCCCACAGGUGGGGAUACCCGCCAGAAAUGGCGGCUAAUACCGCAUAGCGUGACGAGGGGGUGACCUUCGGCACGAAAGCCGCAAGGUGUCUGUGGAGGGGCUGCGUCCGAUUAGCUGGUCGGUGGGUAACGGCCUACCGAGGCGACGAUCGGUAGC